rnacentral:lncRNA from 1 species
CUGAAUUCAGUAGCAAAGUCCAAUCUCAGAGUGCACUCCACCCCUCUAACCAGCAUACAGGUAUCUUACUUGACCCAUCAAGUAGAUGCCUUGUUCAUCACCAGAGAAUAUUCUGCUUAAAAUCAGAGCUUGUGUUCCCAAAUUACGGAACUUUUGCCAAAGAAGAAACGCUGCAGUACUGCCAAUGUGACUGUUUAGUGGAACAGAAGUUGUCUGGAUCUGGAGGAUAUCAUCCUUAGCAGGGAGAAGAAGCAUGCAGUACUUUGAAAAUGG